rnacentral:rRNA from 1 species
UGAGGAAUCUUCCGCAAUGGGCGAAAGCCUGACGCAGCGACGCCGCGUGGGUGAUGAAGGCCUUCGGGUCGUAAAGCCCUGUCGGGAGGGAAGAAACAGUCUGGACCUAAUACGUCCGGGAAUUGACGGUACCUCCUAAGGAAGCACCGGCUAACUCCGUGCCAGCAGCCGCGGUAAUACGGAGGGUGCUAGCGUUGUUCGGAAUCACUGGGCGUAAAGCGCGUGUAGGCGGCUUGAUAAGUCUGGUGUGAAAGCCCGGGGCUCACCCCCGGAAGUGCACUGGAUACUGUCGAGCUCGAGUCCCGGAGAGGAGAGUGGAAUUCCUGGUGUAGCGGUGAAAUGCGUAGAUAUCAGGAGGAACACCGGUGGCGAAGGCGGCUCUCUGGACGGUGACUGACGCUGAGACGCGAAAGCGUGGGGAGCAAACAGGAUUAGAUACCCGGGUAGUCCCUGAGCGGGCUGGCAAGGCGCAU